rnacentral:lncRNA from 10 species
CUGUCUUGCCACUGAGCCUGACUUUGCAGCAUGACCUGUUUCUGGCAGUGCUUAGAGUCCUCAGCCUUCCUUGCUGUGCCUCAGGAUGGUGUGGAAGCUUCCGUACCUCAUCAUUGGGUUGGAUCUUCAUUCUGAAGGCUCCCAGGCACACAUGGGCCCUGGAGGCUCCCACUGCCAAGACCCUGGAGUGUCUUCCAGCCUCUGGCUGAUGUCCUGCUCGUCCACCUGCGUACCCGGCUCCUUCCAUGGAAAGCUCCCGAAUGCACGGCCUGGAGUGGGCUUUCUCCUGACCAGCGAGCCACUUCCUUCGUCGGACAGAGCACCAUGCGGAGUGGAGAUUAGAGUGGAGGCAGGCAGGAGAGGGCUGAGGCUGCAGUGUGGUCUCUGGCUGCACCCCGGGACUGUCGGCUGAGGACCACAGCAGUCCCGCUUGCCUGAGAGCUCCGAGUAUGUCCUGGGAAUGGAGGCGACUGGGGCGGGAAGAGGAGAGUUUGUUUGGGAGCCUCAUAGCUUUAAAGACACUGUUGACAUCCUAUGGUGUUGGCUACGUGGAGGAGUCGGGUCCGAGACUGUGAGGAUGAGGGGGUCCAAGUGCCAUGUCCUGGGAGCAGCUACCUGGGGGCUCACGGGAUCCUUUGCAGGGGGCCGGGGCCUCCCCUUACUUUCUCGCCAGCACCGAUGCCCUUGUUUCUGAUAUCAGCCCAGGGAUCCCCCCGUGCCCCUGGUCUCUGAAGUUCAGGUAGGGCUCAGGCUACCCUGUGUACCCUCACACCAUG